AUGCAGAACAUUUUUAUGACAUGUGCCUUCAUGUUUCAGAAACACAACACUAAAUACAGAACUCCUUUACAAAGGGAGAGUAACAACGUGAGUGUAACUUUCUUUCCUGUGAGGAUUAGCUCAGUGGGGCAUUAUCACAGUACUCUAUCCAUGGAAAAUCAACAGCUCAGCAAGCAGCAGCAUUUAGUGACAUUUCCCUUGCAUGGGCGAACAUUUAAAUGCAAUGAGAUCAGCAUUCAACAGGACAACAGAGACAAAAGUCAACAAGAGGGGUAUAAAUGUCCACCAAUUGUGAAAAUAUAUUAUUUGCGGGGUCAGGAGAGUUUUAUGCAAAGAACUCCACUCUUCCCUUCUCUCAGGCCUUUCCCUGGAUGCACUUUUGCCUGCUGCAGAACUGGGUUUCCACUUAUUUUCUGUAACCGUCUUAUGCAAAUGCAGCUUCAGCAAGAAGCAAGCAAAGAGACUAUGCCAGGAAUAGCACCUACAGCUUGUGGAUGUCUGUGUUCACAAGCUGAGCUUGUGAACAACAUCAGUCAUGUGUGAUAUGGAGGAAUGAAGGCCGAGAACCUCAAUCACCAUCAAUGGAUGACUGCAUGUGUCCAUAGGUUGCCUGUCAGUGGUCUAGACUCUGCUGCAGCAGUGGUGAUUCUCCUUCCCACUGAAGGUCAUGUUCCCAGAGAUCUAACUCACAGUCUGCAAUUUGGAACUUCUAGAAUGGUGGGUAGUAGCAAAGGCUGUCUACCCUCUGUCCUUCAGCCCUUAGACAAGAAAGAGGACUACACUGUUAAUUAAGCAGAUUGUAAACCGUAUAUCUCAACCCUGUCUUUAGGAGAAGAUUCCAUCAGGUGUCACCACUUUUCCUAAGUCACUGUAGUAAGGCAAAUUCUGUUGUACACCACUGCUUAUGUUUCCGUAGACACAAUGAAGUGGAGAGUUGUCCAAUUAAUCAAUCUUAGUGUACUUGGGAAGUUAAGACCCAUGUAUUUCUCUUAUACACAAGCUUAAUGGUAAAAAUUUUAUUUUAAAUUUGUGAAUAGCACAUCAGAUAGAAAAUUCCAUUUCUGUUUUCUUAAUAAAAAUUACUAACUUUUGUAAAUAAAAAUUUAUAAUUUUCUGUCUCUUGACAAAAGACCUGCUAAUGCUCCACUUCUAGUUCAGGGCUAAUGUAAAAUAAAAUAAAACAAACAAUAAAGACACUCAUACAAAACAAACAAAAACCAAAAAGCUCAUUUUACCCUUUGUAUCAGAUGACACCAGUACAUCUUUUUCUCCACACAUUUCACUUUAUAGUGUUAGCCUUCAAUUCAUUUGUACUUACAAGAACAACAUGUAGGAAUUUAAAUUUUUAUUUUAGAAUAUAAGGUAUCAGAAUAAAUAGAGGCUACCCAUUGAAUAAAAAUGGAUUUCACUCCCAGCAAAGACCCAUUAGAAGUUUUAUUGUACAUUCAACUGUCAAUAGUUCUUUCUAAACCCCUGCAAUAAAUCAGGUUUUCAGAUGACCAUGGUGAUACUGAAUUAUGGGUAGCAUAUUACUUCUCCCUUUCUACAUAAAGAGUGUUUACAUUUGGAGCUUAGAAGCUAAAACCAGUAUAGUUGUGUUAUAUAUUUUUGUUUGAUAAUCAAAAUAAUGCACUAUAUUUAAACUAUGACUUAUGGUUUUACAAAGCACUUUCUCAUGUACCUUCUUCUUUGGACCUUACAAAAGACCGUGGAAAAAGAUUGCUAGACAUUUUAGUUAUCAUCCAUGCAAUGGAAUAUUUUGCAACCACCAAAACAGAAUCAGGGUGAAGUGGAAUAAUGUCAUAUUGUUAAAUUAAAAAAAAAGUUUUAGAAUAAACUGUAUGGUGUGAUUCCAUUUUUCUAUUUAAAAAACCAUAAAAAUAGGAAUCUCACAUUAUAUAUAAUUAUGAAUUCAUUUGAGCCUAGAAAGAUAUGAAUCAAGCUUUUUGAUGGUAUUGUUGGGCUAGAAAAGGGGCAGUGCCACUUCUUAUUUUUAUUUUUGUUUAUUUAUUUAUUUGAGUCAGAAUCUCUAUUGCCCAGGCUAAAGUAUUAUGGUGAGAUCUCAGCUCCCUGCAAACUCCACCUCCAGGGUUCAAGUGACUCUUGUGUCUCAGCCUCCCAAGUAGCUGGGACAAACAGGAGCCACCAUGCCCAGUUAAUUUUUGUAUUUUUAGUAGAGAUGGGUUUUUGCCAUGUUGGCCAGGCUGCUCUUGAAUUCCUGGCCUCAAGAAAUCCUUCAGCCUCGGCCUCCCAAAGUGCUAGGAUUACAGGUGUGAGCCACUGUGCCUCCCCCAGUGCCACUUCUUUUUAUAGAUAUAUACUUCAAAAACUGCAGUGGAAUGAUGGGCAAUUUAAUUAUUUUUAUUUUUUGCAUUUUUUCAAAUAAAAAACUUUCAAAAGUAUUAUCUUCCUUUUGAGGAUGAAAAAGCAAGUCUAAGAAAUUUUAAAUAAUCUGUAAAGUCAUGCAGCUUAAUCCUAAAAUCCAGGCCUCCUGAUUCUCCAGCAACUGCUUUGGCCACUAUAUCCCAAGAACAGAGCACUUGAACUGGAGAUGAGGAUGGAAAAGAAUCAUGAUCUUCAAACCCUACCCUUUGGUAUGCCAUCACCUCAAGAUUUCUUGGUCUACAGCAGUGGUGAUUUAACCUAGUUAGCAAAUAAAAAUAUAAAAUAAAAGUUGCCAAAUGCUUGUAUUUUCUCUUUCAGGGAAUAAGGCAACCUAGCUGACUGAGUCUCCAGAUGGAAAUUCAUAAAUUGUGUUUCUACCCUCCUCAUACAUGUUGGGUGAGCCACUGAACACUGUAUCUCAGUUUCCUCACCUGAGAAAAUAUUAUGCUGACCUAUUUUUUCAGGAUAACUGGGUGGGCUACUUCAUGAUUUAAAACUGCUUUGAAAAUAUAAAGCUCCAUUCAAAAUUGCUUGUCAAGCAUUCUUCCUGGCUUACACCUUCCUUCCUUCUCAUGUCCCUCUCUGGAAUAUAAGCCUUGUAGUCUUGGUGUUUUUCUACAUCUGAUCUAAAAGUCUACAUAAUUAAGCAGCAAUUUUUAAAUUGGAAAUGUGUCCUCUGGUAUUUGGUUCAUAUGUGACUGAAUUUAACAAAGCAUUAUUUUUCUCAAACAUGAAUGCAAAAUGUGUAUGUGUGUGAGUAUAUGUGCGUGUGCAUGCCCAUAAUGUGCAUGUGCAUUUGCUUAGCACAGACAGAAGCCCACUGGGCCAGGACACUUUCCUUGGCCUCAUUUGACACUGUAAAGCUUAACAUCACCUGGACAGUAGGAAGUAGCAGCCUAAGGGUGUGGGGAGUAGAAACUGUUUUCUGUCUUCCUCCAGUCACUUUCCCUGCCUAUCCCAUGAUUGCCCUCUGUGCCAGUCUGUGGGGAAGUGGAAGCCAAGUAUCAGUAAAGCAGUAUGGACAUAAGAAGAAAGAGAUCAGUGGAGUGAAGUCAGGUAUUUUUAUGAGUUACUGUAAUCAACUAAAAUGUUGUAGUGUGAAAGUAAAAUCUACCAAAAAGAGAGUUCUUCCUCAUUCCACCCUACCUCAAACCUUGAUCAGGUCCAGGAGAUAAACAAGAAGGGGAUGUGGGUUGUCACAUUAUAGGCCCACACCCAUAGGACAUUUAAAUACAGGUAUGAAAGGGACACAGGAAAGUCUAGCUUUUUAAGUUACAGCUGAGAUCCUCUUCAAUUGCUCCCUUUUCUUUCAUAUUUGGAUAUGUUCAUGAUUUUAUGUUUUGGGUUAGUAAAAAUGUCUUUCUCCACAUGCACUACACGAUAUUUGGGCCAUAAAUAUCUUGUAACUCUUCCAAUACCUACAACAGUGCUCUGUGCAUAGAAGGUGAUUCAGAAUACCUAAUAAAAAACAGUUCUAGAUGCUGUCUAGUAUGUACCGAAUGCACUGUGAAUCUGGGAUUGUAUCUCGGACUCCUGCCAGCUUACUCUGGCAAUGUGUAUGUUUUUCAUUGAGCGGGCUCUCUUUGGUUAAUGAUCAAAAUCACUCUGAUGUUCCCUAAUACACUCAUGAAGAUCUCACAAACCUAUUUAAAGCAAAAGGGAAUUUAUCCUUUUCCUUCUCUGAUAGGCUCCAAGACUGUGGUUUCUUACAUUUUUGAGGAAGAAAGGAAUCUCCGUGGUCUUGUAGCCCACUCAUCCCCAGUUUCUAUGGUCUCUCCUCUACUUCUCCAUGAAGUGGGCUCCCAGUGUCUGGUUAAAGUUAUUCAGGGAGAGAGAGCACAGUCCCUUCUGAGACAGCCCUUUUCCUCUUUGAACAGCUCUGUUGGACAGAAAGAUAUCCACCACAUUGACUGGAAAUAGAUCUACCCUGGAGUUUUGCCUCAUACGACCAUGGAGAGUUAGCCUAAUCUCUUUUGAAGACAACUCUCAUGUGUCUUUCCAUUUUAUAAGCUAUCUCCAAGUCUCCUCUCAUCCUAGCAAAACAGCCUGGUUUCCUUCUGGCAAACAGCUGCUUGGCUGCUGCAGGUGUCAUGACUUGUGGGAUGGAGAUGAAAUCCUGCAGUUCUCAGAAACCCGCAGGAGACCUGUUUUAUGGAAGAAAUGUGAACAAUCCUCUCCUUUUCCCUUGAUGUCCACUACUAUUGCUGAGGGUGGGUAGCCAGGGUGUGUGCCCAGGCAGGACGACCUUCCUUCCCACCAUCUGAAUGUGCCCUGGUGGGCAGGCGAGUGCCUGCUUCACCCUGCUCCUUCUCUGAGGCAUGGGCAAGAUUGAAACUUGGGAUGACAGGUAAGGAGACACUAAUGUCCCAACCUCUCCCUAUACCACAGCCCUUAUCCUGGGAGCAUUUUUCUGUAAUGUAAGAUCUAAGAUUAAUUUAGCUAGUAAGAGUAAUUACAAGUCUUCUAAAUGUUUCUGGGUUUGGUGCACAUUAUGGUGAGAAACCAUCACGUUCUUCAUCAGUAGGGAGGCUCACAACCAAGAAAACAAACCAGGAUUGAAUAAAGCAACGCUAGUGGGAGUUUUGCUUUUGGCUUUGUUUUAAAGUUAGGCAUAAAAUUAUGGCCUGCAGAGUUGAAAGCAGCUAAUCAUGUUAUGAAUCCUUUAACUAAUGGAGGCAAAAUAAUUAGGUAAUAUGUUCUGUUCUCCUUGGGCUCAAGUGGCAAAAAGUUUUGACUUGAGAUAGUUUGUGUAAGAAGGGGAUAGGCACAUUAAAAUGUACUUUAUAUGAACUAUCCUGUAAUCUCUGAUUCUGGGGGAAACAUGCUGAAAAUUAUUUAAGGAUAGACAUACCUAGGGCAGGAAAUUAAAGUGCUGGCCUGAAAUAUUCAAUCUGAAUAUUUCUGACAGGUUCACCUGUCAUCUCACUAACCGCUCAGGUUGAAUCACUAUUUAGGUCCUGUGUGUGUUCCUGGGCAGUAAAGUCAGG
ensembl:lncRNA